rnacentral:lncRNA from 1 species
GAUAAACAAAUAAUGCAUUGUGCCGGUUUGUCACACGGUAAAAGCUGGAUUCUGUGCACUGGAAUAAGGGACAUUUUCACUGUGGGAGGGGUGACAAUGUUAUUUAACUAGUAGGAGUUUCUAUUUACUGUCAGUCAGAGUAUAGACGCCAUGAUUGCUGGAACACCUUGUAACUAAUCAGGAAAAGCUAUUCUGAAUACCCAGACAUGUUAACUCCUGCAUCCCUGCGCUGCUGGCAGUCUCUGGGCAGGAGAAGGGGAUUCUUGCUGCUGCAGACAUGCAGGGUGACUGGGACUCAGAACAGGACCAUAGUAGGGGCUGCAGCAGGGGCUGCAGCUGGGGUAGCAAAGAAAUUGAAGACAUUUGAUGAUCUGCCUGGACCGUCACUUCUCAACAACAUCUACUGGGUCUUCCUGAGAGGAUACCUGCUGUAUUCACAGACCUACUGAAGGGCAAUGAACUUGGGUCAGUGAUACAAAUUGUCAUUCUCUUCAGUUAUUGGUUAAAUAAAAAUAGGCUUUACUAUUUUCACAAAUCUGUGUUCCUCUGAUGCACAGAAUCUGAGUACGUCUAUCGUGUCGGCGAUUUGAAAAGAAUACCUGUCAUUGCUGUUAUAACAUAUGCUCUUUUAAAAUAGCAUAAAAUUGUGUCUAUACAUUGUGUGAGCAGUUUUACCAGCAAAUGUAUAGUUUGAGAUAAAUACUUAUUUAAAGGAACACUAUAGAGUCAGGAACACAGACAUGUAUUCCUGAUCCUAUACUGAUGGUUACCCCCUCUCGCCCCCUCCUCCUCACCCCCUAGCCCCAGCAUAAAAUAAUAAAACUUACCUUAUUUCCAGCUAGCCCCACCACCGAUCUGCCUCGUUGCUGACAUCAACAGAAUUUAUCAUGUACUUUCAUUUAGUGUUCAGUGGUGUGGAAGUAGGUGUUCAUCAGUAUAUGGGAUGAAAAAAAAAAACAGAAUAUAAUGCUCUCUGUAUAAUUAAGGUGAAAUGAAUAAAAGGAUGUAUACUCGCAUAAGGAGAGCAAAGGUAGUGUUUUUAUGCUAUAUAUUGGUUUUUAUUUGGUAUUUUAUUUUCUGUCUUAAAUAAAACUAGUUUUUUACUACACCUGGCCUUCCUGAUUUUAUCCCUAAAGAUUUUAUUCAGAAGACUCACACUGUUACCUACGAUGUUUAGGAUUAAGCAAAACUACUGUUGCUCUCCUUAUGUGAAUAUACUUCCUUUUAUUUAUUUUAUCUUAAUUAUACAGAGAGCACUAUAUUGUUUUUGUUCUCAUCACAUAUACUGAUGAACUUCCACAGUCACAACGCUGCAACCUCAAUGCUUGUCAUCAAGAGUGACGGAUCGGCCUGGAAGCAUAGGACCAGGACCAUGUACAUAUCCACAGGCGGGGAUCAUACCGCCCAAGCAAACCUAUCUGGAGCUGAUCAAAAUCUCCAGAAAAUUGUGUUACUCUACUUACUUUAUUUAUUAGCUUCAGGAGAUACUACACUAUAUUCUAUUUUAUUCUUUUUUCUCAUUACAUACUACCUGAAUACUAUAGGGAUUUGAGAACAUUCUGAAGGCGCUGCUUCCCUAUGCCCCUUUAUACACAGUACUACUUCACGGCCAGAAAGAAAAGACUCUGAUUUGGGCAAUACAAGCUGACACACUCUUACCAGACAAGCGCCAGAAGUCCUAUUGUUUUAUCUAUCUGGUUUUAGAUACACCCCGAUAAAAAAAGCAAAAUUAAGUGCAUGCAUGUUGUCAUUGGGGGUAUAUCUACUAAACUGUGAUUUUUAUUGUAUGUUUGUAUUAUUUAGGCAGUGAAGUAUCCCUUUCAAUUUGAAAUCCUCUCAUAAAUCAACCCGUGAAUCAUUUCUACUAUAGAACUUUUUGUAAGUGGGCUUUUAGUGAACCCGUCCAUUAAUAUUCUGAGCUAGGGAAGGUUAAAGGAUCACUAUAGGGUCAGGAACACAAACAUGUAUUCCUGACCCUAUAGUGUUAACACCACCAUCUAGACCCCCUGGGUUCCUCAUGCCUCCAUAAAUAUAGCAAAAUCUUACUGUAUUCAAGCCUGAAGCUGUAACUCUGCAUACUGUUAGACUCAGAAAAACAAGCAGUCUGCUGACAUCAUUAGAAGUGGUAGCCUGAUCCAAUCAGAGUGCUUCCCCAUAGGAUUGGCUGAAACUGACAGAGCCAGCAUGAUUCAAACACAGGCCUGGCCAAUCAGCAUCUCCUCAUAGAGAUGAAUUGAAUCAAUGAAUCUCUAUGAGGAAAGUUCAGUGUCUGCAUGCAGAGGGAGGAGAUACUGAAUGUUUGGAUGCAUUUUAGGCAGCCAUGACCCAGGAAGGAUCUCUAACAGCUAUCUGAGGAGUGGCCAGUGAAGUUAUCACUAGGCUGUAAUGUAAACACUGCAUUUUCUCUGAAAAGACAGUGUUUACAGCAAAAAGCCUGAAGGUAAUGAUUCUACUCACCAGAACAAAUUCAAUAAGCUGUAGUUGUUCUGGUGACUAUAGUGUCCCUUUAACCCCUUAAGGACACAUGACAUGUGUGACAUGUCAUGAUUCCCUUUUAUGCCAGAAGUUUGGUCCUUAAGGGGUUAAUGUAAACUCUGCUGAAACACAGUUACUGAUUAAUUCAUAUUGUGAUUAAAUUAAUUCAUUUUGUAACAGUUCAGAUCAUUUUCAAGAAGAAAUGUGGCCCAAUGUGGAAAAUGUCUAUGGGACAACAAAGAGUGGUGGAUGUUGAUGAUGUGGAUUUAAUACAAACCAUCCUAAAACAGGAGGGAAAAUAUCCAAUGAGAACCGACAUGAAUCUUUUCUAAAGUGCAUCGUAAUAGCAGGGCCUAUGGUCCAUUUACAGAGUGUGUUUAAAAAAUUCCUUUCACCAACCCAUCAUUCAUGGAAUUUAUUGUCUAUGCGUAGCACGUAGGUCUGGAAACAGAGAGAGGUCUGUUAAUAUCUACCACUUUCUCAAAUUACCAAGUUCAGUCUUACGAUUGACAUUUUUAACCAAUUAAAAAGUUACUCCAUUCCUGGAACAGACAGGGCUCCAAAGGUUAUGCCACAUAUACACGGGCAACAGGUUGACAACAUUCGACGAACUCACCGGCAGGGGGAACCUCAGACCAGGGGACUUCUUUCGAAACUUACAGCUCAAAGACUAUGUGAGCAAACCACACAUACAGGAAAUAGCGGCCCAACAUAUGACAGGAUUCUGCACAUCUGCCUUAAAGAAGCGACCCCCCAGGGUAUGAUCUCCUUACUAUACUCACACCUAACCUCUACUACAACCGAAUGGGGUGCACUGACAUACACGGAUAAAUGGGAGGCAGACUUGUGGGAGACACUAGAGGGCGCAGACUGGCAGGAGAUUUGGAAAGCCAACACAGCAGUAUCAAUAUGCACCACCCUCCAAGAACAAACAUACAAGAUGAUGUUCCGUUGGUACGUGACACCGCUACAAACGCACCGCAUGGGCAACACCCCCAAGCGACCUUUGCUGGAGGUUGUGCUGGAUAAAGGGGACCUUUGUCCAUAUGUGGUGGAAAUGUCCAGUUGUGGAGACCUUCUGGAGACAGGUGGGGGCCCUAAUAGCAAAGGUUUUCCAAUGAAAUGUCGACAUAGACCCAUGGGUAUUCCUAUCAUCCUGCCCCAAGGACGACUGGACCAAACCGGACCAAACUUACACUAGCAGCCUGGCUAACGCUGGCACAAAACUGGCUCAAAGCAGACAUGCCAUCUGUAGCUGCGGUAAUACAGAAAACGCAUGAAAUAUGCCUCAUGGACAUACACACUGACCGUCACACACACAUUCAAUGACAAACACACAGACUCUCACUGAUUUGACAUGCACACAUUCACUAACAAACACAGAUACACUUAGUGACACACACACACAUUCACUGACAGGCACACAAACACUUAAUGAGAAACACAGACUCUCACUGGUGUGGCAGACACUCACAGACAAGCACAUACAAAUUCACUGACAGACACACACAUUCACUGACAAACACACACACACACACACAUUCUCUCACACACACACUCACAAAUUACUAAUAUUAUUAUAUUAAUUGGUCCACCCAGUCUCCAUAUCUUUGGGAGAACUGGAGUGGAUCUGUCCCUGGGGUCCACUGGGGCAGCUGUGAGGCAGGCAGCUGUGAGCACAUCAGAGGCAGUGAGGGAGUUGUAAUCCUCCUGCUCUGCUCCCUUGCCGGCCGUCUACUGAUGCAGGAAGCUGGAAUAUGACGUCACAUUCCAGCUCCCGGCAUCAGUAGACGGUGCGCAAGGGAGCAGAGCAGGAGGAUUAUGACUCCCUUGCCGCCUCUGAUGUGCUCACAGUCACCCGCCUCAGUGGUCCAUAAACUGCUUCCUCCAUGACAGAAGGAAGCACCAGGGAUGUCCAUGCGGUCAUUUUGGGUAGGAUGCAACCAGGGCUGGCCUUAGGCCUUUAGAUGCCCUGUGCAAAAAAAUCACACACACAGUCAGACAGUGACGCACACACAGUUACAGUCACACAUAGUUACAGUGACACACAGGCAGACAGCCACACACAGAAGCAGACAGUCACACACACACAGGCAGACAGUCACACACACACACACACACACAGUUACAGUCACACACAAGCAGUCAAACACAGAGGCAGACAGCUACACACACAGAGGCAGAUAGUCACACACACACACACACAGUUACAGUCAAACACACACAGUUACAGUCACACACAGCUACAGUCACACACACAUUUACACACACACACACACACACAGUUACCUCAGUCCAUUAUGGGCUGGAAGGGAGAAGUGGAGGCAGUGCAGCUCCUGUUGUCUGGAUGUUGGGAAACAGGGACUCCUUCCUGCUUCAUGCUUACUGUGCAGCAGUUACCCACAUCUUCUGAGGGCUUUAGCUCUGGCACCGCCAUUGUUUGGCCAUGCCCCUGCCGCAGGUAAGCCCAUUUUGUUGUUGUUUUUUUCAUUAUCCCGGGUGGAGAAUAAUGAAUUCCUCCACCCAGGUAGCCGGACCUGUGUGAGCUGUGCUCGCACACCCCUUGAUACAUAUGUCCCUACAUAUGGGGGGGGCGCACCUGGGGGCACGGCAUGAUUUGGGGGGCAUGGGCUCCUCAGGCCCCCCUAGUCAUGUCACUGGAGGCAGAGCCACUAUACCCCCUAUACUCACUAGAACACUUGUACCACCUGCAACCCCUGCAUACACCAUACCCCCUCCACCCCUGUCCUCCCCAAAAAAACAUGUGUAAAUAUACUCUGAAUUCACAUAUCCUGACACUGCAAACAAAGACAUACAUAUAUUCACUUACACUAGGGCUUACGGUGAAUUUACACAAAAAAACAUACAUGCAUUUUACAUGCACAUACAAUCAAAUACAUGGAACAUCUAGACCAGCAUAUAUAGUGGUCUGCAGGGGGCUCAGGUCCUAAUUUUGUCCAUGGGGCCCAGACCACUCUCAGUCCAACCCUGAUCAUACCUGUUCACAGGAUUCUCCAAGGGAUCAUGAUUUGAGGAUACACUGUAUGUCAGCGGAUCUGUCUGGGACACUGAUAAAGUCUAUUGUGUUAAGAUGUUAACCCAGGAUUUCAGAGAUGUUGGGGAUAUCGUAAAAUGUUGGCCUGUUAUUGACUCCCAUGGACAAGUUUGAGAUGUACUGACCUGACCCAGUGAAGGAAAACAUCUGACUGACUGAGAGCAUGUGAACCUUGUUUUCUUACUUCUCUUUAGUCUUUACGAGAACUUUAUCUUUAGAGUAGCUAUUUAUUUUACAGAAGUCAUACAACUUCUUGUUCACUUAUUUUAGGUAUUUCUUACAUUCUGUUUGAAACACGGGUCGGUUGCUUGAAGAAUCAGAUGCCUGCAGAGACUCAGAACUUCAUAAAUUCCAUCGCUGACAUGAUGAAGUACAUUACGAUUGUGUUUCUCCUUCCACACUGGACCAAUGACAUCCUGCCAUUCUUUAAAUACUACAUGGAAAGCUGGGACAAUAUCUUUAACUUUGGUGUGCAGUUUUAUUAGAAGAAUCCUCUCCUCGUUACAGUCUUGUACUGGUAACAUUGAUAAUCUCGAUUUUCCAAUUUAGCAAAAAAGUUGAUUGACCAGAAGAUGCAGACCAUACAGGAUCGUUUGGACCAUGGUGAAGAAGUAAAGGGUGAAUACUAACCGUAUUUACUAUCCAGUGGGGAGCUAACACCUAAGGACCCAGUGAAGGAAAACAUCUGACUGACUGAGAGCAUGUGAACCUUGUUUUCUUACUUCUCUUUAGUCUUUACGAGAACUUUAUCUUUAGAGUAGCUAUUUAUUUUACAGAAGUCAUACAACUUCUUGUUCACUUAUUUUAGGUAUUUCUUACAUUCUGUUUGAAACACGGGUCGGUUGCUUGAAGAAUCAGAUGCCUGCAGAGACUCAGAACUUCAUAAAUUCCAUCGCUGACAUGAUGAAGUACAUUACGAUUGUGUUUCUCCUUCCACACUGGACCAAUGACAUCCUGCCAUUCUUUAAAUACUACAUAGAAAGCUGGGACAAUAUCUUUAACUUUGGUGUGCAGUUUUAUUAGAAGAAUCCUCUCCUCGUUACAGUCUUGUACUGGUAACAUUGAUAAUCUCAAUUUUCCAAUUUAGCAAAAAAGUUGAUUGACCAGAAGAUGCAGACCAUACAGGAUCGUUUGGACCAUGGUGAAGAAGUAAAGGGUGAAUACUAACCGUAUUUACUAUCCAGUGGGGAGCUAACACCUAAGGAAGUGUACGGCAGUGUGGCUGAACUGCUAUUGACCGGAGUGGACACUGUAAGUAAAUAACAAUUAAAUAUUUGAAAAAAUGAAAAAAAAAAAUAGUUUGCAUGAAAGUGGAAAUUUGGGGCAUGGCCUACCGCGGAGCUGAAUGGACGUGCUCUAGUUCAGCUCCUCGCAGCUCGAUCGACAAUCCACUCUAAUCAGAGACUAUACUCAAAUAUGGGGAACCCCAAGAGACAGAAUACCUCUCACAGUACAUCAGGGAGAACUCCCUUGGCAAAAUCAGGCUCUCUAACUCGAUAUUUUAGGAUACAACGGACUGCGAGUCAGAGGCCGCGGGAAACAAAAUGUCACCGACGGAAAACCAAACCGACUCCUCUCCAUCUAGCUCAGUGCCAUCUGAAGGCUCUUAUAAAUCACAGGAGAUGUCCCAAGACUCUGACAUCAGGGAGCUGAUAAUGAACCUGCCGUUGAAAGCGGAUUUAGCCAAUAUGCUGGGCAGGCUGGAAGCUACCUUUCAAACAAAGCUGGAAGCGAUGGGCUCUGACAUCCAACAAGUAAGUCACAAAGUUACUGACUUAGAAAAAGUGAAGAUGUAUUACAGUCCCAAAUCCAGCAUCUCUCCUCUACGCUAGACACCUUCUCACAAUAUAUGUUCUCAAUCCAAUGUCAGAUAGAUGACUUAGACAACAGGGGCCGUAGGAAUAAUCUUAGGGUGCGUGACCUACCGGAAGCUCCAGGGGAAGAUGUAAUGGCGACCCUUACAGAGCUCUUCAAUGGAUCUUUAUGAGGAGAUGCUGAUUGGCCAGGGCUGGCUCUGCCCCUGAUCUGCCUCAUUGACAGUCUCAGCAAAUCCUAUGGAAAAGCAUUGUGAUUGGCUCACAGAAUCACUUCUGAUGAUUUUUUAGCUGUAAGCAGGCAGAUCAGGGGCAGAGCCAGCAGCUGCAGACUUGAAUUCAGGUAAGAUUUUACUUUAUUUAGGGAGGCAAGAGGGGAUCAGGGGGGCUAGAUGGUGGUUUUAACACAAUAGGGUCAGGAAUACAUGUUUGUGUCCCUGAGCCUAUAGUGUUCCUUUCAAAUUUCCCUCUUGUAUAUAUACGUACAUGUAUCAAGCACUUUGAACUGCAACCCCUAUUGUCCUCAGCUGCCCAGCUAGGAAUUUAAUGCACAGGAACUAGAGAGUUCAGUGUCCCCUACUCCUCUCAGUAGGUAAAUUAUAGGAAUAUAGUAAUUCCUUUACUUCAGGUACAUUAAAAAUGAAUCAUAUUCUAAUAAAUAGUUUUUCACAUAAAAUCCAGCCUAAAGAUUGUUCAACAAACUCCAUGAAAAACACUUUGUGCAAUUUUAUAACAUGAUGCAGGGUGUGAUUGUCCAUAAUGGUUCCUGGGCUAAAUAAACAUCAUAGCUUGCAUAUCACUGCUCCCCCCACCGCUUGUCUAAUAGAAGAAGAUAUGGCAUUGUAUUGCCCUCACCAUGUGGUGGCGCUGUGAUAAUAUUCUUCUCUCUCUCUCCAGACUUCCAACACACUGUCCUGGGCUCUGUAUCAUCUGGCACAAAACACGGAGAUAGAGGACCAG